rnacentral:rRNA from 1 species
GCGCGAGCAGGUGCGAAAGCAGGUCAUAGUGAUCCGGUGGUUCUGAAUGGAAGGGCCAUCGCUCAACGGAUAAAAGGUACUCCGGGGAUAACAGGCUGAUACCGCCCAAGAGUUCAUAUCGACGGCGGUGUUUGGCACCUCGAUGUCGGCUCAUCACAUCCUGGGGCUGAAGUAGGUCCCAAGGGUAUGGCUGUUCGCCAUUUAAAGUGGUACGCGAGCUGGGUUUAGAACGUCGUGAGACAGUUCGGUCCCUAUCUGCCGUGGGCGCUGGAGAAUUGAGGGGGGCUGCUCCUAGUACGAGAGGACCGGAGUGGACGCAUCACUGGUGUUCGGGUUG